rnacentral:rRNA from 1 species
AGAGUUUGAUCCUGGCUCAGAUUGAACGCUGGCGGCAUGCUUUACACAUGCAAGUCGAACGCGGCCGAGGGGCAACUCUUGGCCGAGUGGCGAACGGGUGAGUAAUACAUCGGAACGUGUCCCGUUGUGGGGGAUAACCCAUCGAAAGGUGGGCUAAUACCGCAUACGCCCUGAGGGGGAAAGCGGGGGACCUGAGAGGGCCUCGCGCGAGGGGAGCGGCCGAUGUCGGAUUAGCUAGUAGGUUGGGUAAAGGCCGACCUAGGCGACGAUCCGUAGCUGGUCUGAGAGGAUGAUCAGCCACACUGGGACUGAGACACGGCCCAGACUCCUACGGGAGGCAGCAGUGGGGAAUUUUGGACAAUGGGGGCAACCCUGAUCCAGCCAUGCCGCGUGAGUGAAGAAGGCCUUCGGGUUGUAAAGCUCUUUCGGCCGGAACGAAAUCGCAUCUCCUAACACGGGGUGUGGAUGACGGUACCGGAAGAAGAAGCACCGGCUAACUACGUGCCAGCAGCCGCGGUAAUACGUAGGGUGCGAGCGUUAAUCGGAAUUACUGGGCGUAAAGCGUGCGCAGGCGGCUCUUUAAGUCAGAUGUGAAAGCCCCGGGCUUAACCUGGGAACUGCGUUUGAAACUGGAGAGCUUGAGUGUGGCAGAGGGAGGUGGAAUUCCACGUGUAGCAGUGAAAUGCGUA